rnacentral:lncRNA from 1 species
CUGUUCCUGAAUGCGACCGAGCAUUGAAUUUACUAGUGCUUCUUUUACCAAAUGAAAACCGAGCCACAUUGUUGGCACUAAUAUCUUUUCUAUCUCAGUUAAUCAUCAACCAAGCAUCCAACAAAUGUCUGCUCACAAUGUUGCCAUGAUAGUUGCUCCAUCCUUAUUUCCACCCAGGUAUUUAAUCUCCCACCGUUCUCAUUAUUUUUUCCUAACGGUUCUCACCUAUAAAAAUUCACAGGAACAAUAGAACAACUCAUUUCAUACGCUAUUAUUAACCCGCAGAGGCAGAAAAUAUUUUCUCCUUGUAACAAAUUUGUACAAAUGUAAAAUGAUUCUCUCUUCAAAAAUAAAAGGAGAGUAACACUACUUCCUAGAAAUAAUAUUUGCCCCAACUCGAAAUGCUCACAAAGUUCAUAACUUGUGUAUAUUUGGCCUAAAGUGAUUUUGCUGACACUAUUAAAGAUAGUUCAAAUGAUAGAAACAUUCCUGGAAUGAAUGAUCUAUGAAUAUUUGUCUGAUGCCACCCAAUCAUGAAGGUAUUUAACAAUUCAUGGUUUGUGAUUUGUUCAGUGUUAGCUAAAUAAUAGACCAUCAAAAUCUUGAGCCAUAAUUUUUGGUAAAUUGAUAGCUUUGGCAGUGAUAUUCUCUAAUGUCAUGUAUCUCUCAUGCUCUGUAGGUAAGUGAGGAAUCCUUGAUGUAAAAUGAUUUGUUUUCUUGCGUUAAGAUUUUUUAUUUUGUUCUUUUUUUCAGUUACUUACGCUUGGAUAAGAGGAUUUACAAGCCCAAGUUAAAGUCGCUGCUGUCAGUUGUCGAUUGACCGAAAACUUCUUGAGUGUGGGGAAUCAUUAUGGGUUGUCCUCCUUCUCUCAUCGCCCAGUUGAGGCACAACAAUGACCAGUUGCGAUAUCGGUUAAAAGAGAACAAAAAGCCUAUGAAGAAACUACUAGGAAGAAAAGAUAUCCGUGAUUGGAUCAUGCGCAAAAUCGACAAUGAAGUCGAUUACCAAGAAGGCAUAGUGAGGGUGAAUGCUCCGCAGUUUCUUUUGUCUCAAGAGCCGAUGGUACUCUCGGACACAACAACAGCUGGAGAUGUCGUUCUUAAGUUAGUUGAACGAGGUAUUCAGAAAUUUGACUCAACUCCUUUCAAACUUGGCCGUCGUGACAUCAAGUCUCGAGCUCUCUCCGAGCUUGCCCCAACGGGAAUUUAA